rnacentral:misc_RNA from 1 species
GCCUUAGGUGUCUUCUCCGCGGGUGUUGUCAUGAUCGGCUCCUCCGCGUGCAUUUACCUUCGAUCCACCCAAUGGGUUGACCUUGUGCACUAGUAUGAUGCCACUGACGAGAGCCCAGCGUAUCAGCCAAAUCUUCAUGCCUCGUGUUUUCCCUGCAAACCUGAAGAAAAAAGAAAGCCGACGAGCGGACUCGAACCGCUUACCCCUGCUCCAGCUACGAGUGAUAAGUCAGGCGUUGCAGGGAGUUGCAGAGGCUUGCAAUUCAC